rnacentral:lncRNA from 1 species
GGAGAUCAGAUGUUCAAUUUUUCAGGCUGUUGAUGUUUGAAAGCAGAUUUCUUGAAGGGUCGUUUCAUCUUUCAAAGUUUAGGUUGUGUUUUUUUGUUGUUGUUGUUUUUGUUUUCAAUCUUUUUUAGUUUUGGUUUUUUUCUUUUUGUUCAUUUUAUUAAUUUUCUUUUUUCAGGAAUAGCCAAUUAUGGUGUCAUCCCAAGUAGCCAAUUAUAUAUGACGUCCUGUGUUAGUAUUUGUUAGGUCUAGCCUCUUUAUUCAAUUCAAUUAGAUAUCAAUUUAAUGUAAAUGAACCAUAACUAUGUAAACCUAUUCC